rnacentral:lncRNA from 1 species
UGCAAGUUGAUAACAUAUCUCAUAUGAAGAUAAUGACUUGAAAUAUGUACCUUGGAACAUACUUAUUAUGCUUGGACAUAGAGGACCAAGUGUCAUAAAGGGGCACUCGAAACUAGUAAACUAUGAAACUGCAACAUAGAAACAUAUUGAUAGGCCAUUUUACAUCUGCUAUAUUUCAUGUUAGAGACAUGAUAAUAUAGGGAUAGGCCAUUGAGAUAUUCGAUAUAUUUCAUGUUUUUAGACAUGAGGACUUGGUACUUGAGACAGAUCAUUGCUUGUUUGCCAUUGUGCUCAUUCGCACAUGCUUGUGAGGGUCGCUCCCUACAAGCCGGCACUCCGGAGAUAGCCAUCGCGAAAUAUGCUCGCCCGUGCGGGAUUGGGCGCCGAAAUGGGAUGCCGUGGGGGAGGCUCAUUCCUAGAGUGGGGAUGUUGACUAUCACGGCGCCAUUAGGCACGGCGCAGGCGAGACAGCCUUCGGGUGGGUCUUAUAUGAUUGGAACUUAGUGACGUGCUAUGUGAAC